rnacentral:rRNA from 1 species
CUACGUGCCAGCAGCCGCGGUAAUACGUAGGUCCCGAGCGUUGUCCGGAUUUAUUGGGCGUAAAGCGAGCGCAGGCGGUCAGGUAAGUCUGAAGUUAAAGGCUGUGGCUUAACCAUAGUACGCUUUGGAAACUGUUUAACUUGAGUGCAAGAGGGGAGAGUGGAAUUCCAUGUGUAGCGGUGAAAUGCGUAGAUAUAUGGAGGAACACCGGUGGCGAAAGCGGCUCUCUGGUCUGUAACUGACGCUGAGGCUCGAAAGCGUGGGGAGCGAACAGGAUUAGAUACCCUGGUAGUCCACGCCGUAAACGAUGAGUGCUAGGUGUUGGAUCCUUUCCGGGAUUCAGUGCCGCAGCUAACGCAUUAAGCACUCCGCCUGGGGAGUACGACCGCAAGGUUGAAACUCAAAGGAAUUGACGGGGGCCCGCACAAGCGGUGGAGCAUGUGGUUUAAUUCGAAGCAACGCGAAGAACCUUACCAGGUCUUGACAUCCCGAUGCUAUUUCUAGAGAUAGAAAGUUA